CCUACGGGAGGCAGCAGUAAGGGAUAUUGCGCAAUGGGCGAAAGCCUGACGCAGCAACGCCGCGUGGAGGAUGACGGCCUUCGGGUUGUAAACUCCUUUGGACGCAGACGAGCAAGGACGGUAUGCGUCAAACAAGUCACGGCUAACUACGUGCCAGCAGCCGCGGUAA
rnacentral:rRNA from 1 species